GCCCAUAAGAGGGGGAAUAACGAUCCGGAAACGGGUGACUAACUACCGCAAUAGUUUUUCUUGAUCGCAUGAUCGGGAAAGGUAAAGACGGCCUUUGUGCUGUCGCUUAUGGAUGGACCCGCGGCGUAUUAGUUAGUUGGUGAGGUAACGGCUCACCAAGGCGAUGAUACGUAGCCGACCUGAGAGGGUGAUCGGCCACAUUGGGACUGAGACACGGCCCAAACUCCUACGGGAGGCAGCAGUAGGGAAUCUUCCGCAAUGGACGAAAGUCUGACGGAGCAACGCCGCGUGAGUGAAAGAAGGUUUUCGGAUCGUAAAACUCUGUUGUCAGAGAAGAACAAGUUGGAGAGUAACUGCUCCAGCCUUGACGGUAUCUGACCAGAAAGCCACGGCUAACUACGUGCCAGCCGCCGC
rnacentral:rRNA from 1 species